CCUACGGGAGGCAGCAGUGAGGAAUAUUGGUCAAUGGACGCAAGUCUGAACCAGCCAUGCCGCGUGCAGGAAGACGGCUCUAUGAGUUGUAAACUGCUUUUGUACGAGGGUAAACGCAGAUACGCGUAUCUGUCUGAAAGUACUGUACGAAUAAGGAUCGGCUAACUCCGUGCCAGCAGCCGCGGUAAUACGGAGGAUUCAAGCGUUAUCCGGAUUUAUUGGGUUUAAAGGGUGCGUAGGCGGUCGGAUAAGUUAGAGGUGAAAUCCCGAGGCUCAACUUCGGAAUUGCCUCUGAUACUGUUCGGCUAGAGAGUAGUUGCGGUAGGCGGAAUGUAUGGUGUAGCGGGGAAAUGCUUAGAGAUCAUACAGAACACCGAUUGCGAAGGCAGCUUACCAAUCUAUAUCUGACGUUGAGGCACGAAAGCGUGGGGAGCAAACAGGAUUAGAUACCCGAGUAGUC
rnacentral:rRNA from 1 species